AAUAAAUAAGGGCCUCAAUGUCAGUUUGAUUCCUGCCAGAUGGCCUACAUUUUCGCAACCGCUCCUGGUUAGGCGGUGUAGAGAAGCGCCUUUUAGUGUAUGUGUUUUAGCGCCUUUUAGUGCAUGUGUUUUUGAGGAGAGAGAACCGCAUGGGAGUGAGAUAUUGUAGAGUUAAGGUGAAAUUGUGAGAUGUAUUUCGUGGAGAUUAAUCGUUGUUGAGUAUUGUAAUUAAAGAGUUUUGGUAUUAUCUUAGUCCAGUAGUGCUUCGUGACAAUUUUGGAGGUCCCACCGAGACCAAACUUGUGGAAAUGAUGUGACAUUUUGACUUGUUUUUCGAGUGUGUUUUGUAUCGUGCAAACAUGGCGGUCGAGCCUGAGCAAGCAGAAGCACCGAAUGUUGAGACGAAUAAGUUGUAGCCCUCAAGUUUAAAAUUAGCGAAGGCCCGACAAGUUUAAAAUUGGCGAAGACUUUGAUUUGUUCAUCAAGAAAUGUAAUUUGUACUUCGAAGCAGUGGAACUUGAAGAUGUUAAAAAGCGACGAUUUGCGCUGUUGUUUAAUUUGAGCGAAGAUGCGUUUUCGUUUGGCAGAACCGGUUGAGUUUGGCGAAGGGGAAAACGCGUACAAAGAUUGGAUUGGAAAGUUGAAGUCGUUAUUUGAAAGGAAUCAGACUGCUACAGAGAAACGUUACAAUUUUCAUCGUAGAGAACAGGAGCCUGGUGAGUCUGUUGAUUCGUAUGCUGUUUCUUUGCGAGAAGCUGGAGCUAGAUGUGGUUUCCAUGGUGACGAAUAUUCUAGCAGGUUGGUUGAUCAAUUUAUUUUGGGGUUGAGAGAUAAGGCCACCCAAAACAAGUUGUUACAAGAGCCACCAAACAGUUUAGAUGAUGCCUUGUUAAUUGCUCGAAGAUUUGAGGCAGCAAAUGCCACAAUGAAAACAUUAGCCAGAGAAGCAAC